UACGGAGGGUGCAAGCGUUAUCCGGAUUUACUGGGUUUAAAGGGUGUGUAGGCGGACUUUUAAGUCUGGGGUGAAAUCUCCGAGCUCAACUCGGAAACUGCCUUGGAUACUAUUAGUCUUGAAUUAUGUUGAGGUUGGCGGAAUAUAACAUGUAGCGGUGAAAUGCAUAGAUAUGUUAUAGAACACCGAUUGCGAAGGCAGCUAACUAAGCAUAUAUUGACGCUGAGGCACGAAAGCGUGGGGAUCAAACAGG
rnacentral:rRNA from 1 species